UACAGAGGGGGCAAGCGUUGUUCGGAAUUACUGGGCGUAAAGGGCGCGUAGGCGGCCCGCUAAGUCGAACGUGAAAUCCCCGAGCUCAACUCGGGAACUGCGUCCGAUACUGGCGGGCUUGAAUCCGGGAGAGGGAUGCGGAAUCCAGGUGUAGCGGUGAAAUGCGUAGAUAUCUGGAGGAACACCGGUGGCGAAGGCGGCAUCCUGGACCGGCAUUGACGCUGAGGCGCGAAAGCUAGGGGAGCAAAGCGGGG
rnacentral:rRNA from 1 species